AACGUUAAAAUUUUGGGAUCAGGCACCGAGUACAUCGUUCUGGGUCAUGGUUUCGGCACGGAUCAAUCUGUGUGGAAACACUUUGUACCUUAUCUCGUCGACGAUUACCGUGUCGUUCUCUACGAUAACAUGGGCGCCGGUACCACUAACCCUGAGUACUUCGAUUUCGAGCGCUAUUCCACCUUAGAAGGAUACGCGUCUGAUUUGCUUGCCAUUUUAGAAGAGCUCCAAGUUGAAUCUUGCAUUUUCGUUGGCCACUCGGUUUCCGGAAUGGUUGGUGCUAUUGCUUCCA
rnacentral:lncRNA from 1 species